CUUUGAGUAUUAAGAUGAAAAGAAACAGCUUGCUCUCUCACUCCUCAAACCAUGGUCUCCUCAUCACUCUGGUUGUUUCUGCUGCUUGCAGCUGUCUCUCGUGUCCACUGUGUUGAACUGACCCAGACUGAUUCUGUGGUCUUAAGGCCUGGUCAGGUUUUGACUCUGUCCUGUAAGAUCUCUGGAUAUUCAGUGACUGACAGCUACUGCACUGGCUUCAUACGACAGGUUUCGGGAAAAGCUCUGGAAUGGGUUGGAUACAUAUGUAGUAGUAGCGGUAGCACAUAUUACAGUGAAAAACUGAAAAGUAGAUAUCAAGUUAGCAGAGACACUUCCAGCAGCACAGUGACUCUACAAGGACAGAAUAUGCAGACUGAGGACACAGCUGUGUAUUACUGCGCCAGAGAGUCACAGUGACACAGAGCAGUUACUGCCUUGUUCAAAAACAACAUUGUCACUCACAACACAAAUAGUUUCAG